rnacentral:rRNA from 1 species
GUGAGGAAUAUUGCGCAAUGGGCGAAAGCCUGACGCAGCGACGCCGCGUGGAGGAUGAAGGUCUUCGGAUUGUAAACUCCUGUCGAGCGGGACGAAUGCGGUGAGCGUUAACAGCGCUUGCCGUUGACGGUACCGCUGGAGGAAGCCCCGGCUAACUCCGUGCCAGCAGCCGCGGUAAUACGGAGGGGGCCAGCGUUGUUCGGAAUCAUUGGGCGUAAAGGGCGCGUAGGCGGCCGAUCAAGUCCGACGUGAAAUUCCUCGGCUCAACCGAGGGCCUGCGUCGGAUACUGCUCGGCUUGAGUCCCGGAGAGGGUAGUGGAAUUCCCAGUGUAGCGGUGAAAUGCGUAGAUACUGGGAGGAACACCGGUGGCGAAGGCGGCUACCUGGACGGGUACUGACGCUGAGGCGCGAAAGCUAGGGGAGCAAACAGGAUUAGAUACCCCGGUAGUCC